rnacentral:rRNA from 1 species
UACGGGGGGGGCAAGCGUUGUUCGGAAUUACUGGGCGUAAAGGGCUCGUAGGCGGCCAACUAAGUCGGAUGUGAAAUCCCCAGGCUUAACCCGGGAACUGCAUCCGAUACUGGAUGGCUUGAAUCCGGGAGAGGGAUGCGGAAUUCCAGGUGUAGCGGUGAAAUGCGUAGAUAUCUGGAGGAACACCGGUGGCGAAGGCGGCAUCCUGGACCGGCAUUGACGCUGAGGAGCGAAAGCCAGGGGAGCAAACGGG